CACGUAGGCACCAAGCGUUGUCCGGAUUUAUUGGGCGUAAAGAGCUCGUAGGCGGUUCGGUAAGUCGGAUGUGAAAACUUUGGGCUCAACCCAAAGCGUGCACUCGAUACUGCCAUGACUAGAGUUCGGUAGGGGAGUGGGGAAUUCCUAGUGUAGCGGUGAAAUGCGCAGAUAUCAGGAGGAACACCGAUGGCGAAGGCAGGUCUCUGGGCCGAUACUGACGCUGAGGAGCGAAAGCGUGGGGAGCGAACAGG
rnacentral:rRNA from 1 species